rnacentral:rRNA from 1 species
GACGAACGCUGGCGGCGUGCUUAACACAUGCAAGUCGAGCGGUAAGGCCCUUUCGGGGUACGACGAGCGGCGAACGGGUGAGUAACACGUGGGUGACCUCGCCCUCCAGCUCCUGGGAGUAAGACCUGGGAAACCGGGUACUAAUACUGGAUAUGACUCCAUGACGCAUGUUGUGGGGUGGAAAGCCUUGUGCGGCUGAGGAUGGGCCCGCGGCCUAUCAGCUUGUUGGUGGGGU